rnacentral:rRNA from 1 species
UACGUAGGGGGGCAAGCGUUUGUCCGGAUUUAUUGGGCGUAAAGAGCGUGUAGGCGGUUCGGUAGGUCCGUUGUGAAAACUCGAGGCUCAACCUCGAGACGCCGAUGGAAACCCUCGAACUAGAGUCCGGAAGAGGAGAGUGGAAUUCCUGGUGUAGCGGUGAAAUGCGCAGAUAUCAGGAAGAACACCCGUGGCUAAGGCGGCUCUCUAGUGACGGUACUGACGCUGAGACGCGAAAGCGUGGGGAGCGAACAGG